rnacentral:rRNA from 1 species
UAUGGUGUGUGCCAGCAGCCGCGGUAAUACGUAGGUGGCAAGCGUUAUCCGGAUUUACUGGGUGUAAAGGGCGAGUAGGCGGGAUUGCAAGUCAGAUGUGAAAACUAUGGGCUCAACCCAUAGACUGCAUUUGAAACUGUAGUUCUUGAGUGAUGGAGAGGCAGGCGGAAUUCCCGGUGUAGCGGUGGAAUGCGUAGAUAUCGGGAGGAACACCAGUGGCGAAGGCGGCCUGCUGGACAUUAACUGACGCUGAGGCGCGAAAGCGUGGGGAGCAAACAGG